CGCCAUAGAGACCGAUGCUGUUAAGAGCUAGAGGGCCUGGAGAAGGUGGGGAGUGAGGAUGAAGGUGUCUCUGGCUUUGGGUGCGGGAGGGGGUAGAGGAGAGAGCUACCGAGGGAUUCGUGAGUGCUGAUUGAAAUUGGGACAGCUUUCGCUUUGUCUCCCUGUCAAACCCAGUUGUGCAUGGAAGGGUUAGUCCGUCGCGUCAAAGGCAGGGACAACUGAGCCCCUAAAGGAAUCCUUGAGAACCCGGGAGUGGGCAUUUCACUUUUUCUGCGAUUAGGGAGUCCCUCGGCCUCUACCCUUUGGCCUUUGACACGUGUGCACCUUCUGCUUCUCCAGGAAAGUUUGUCAACCCUGGAUUUAGUUUACCCCAGAUUUUAAAAAUCAGGAGGAAAUUUUUUAAAAAAUCUGAAACAGGAUGUCUUCUUUAAGCCACCCUCCUGUGUUUAUAGAGGUACUGCAAUUUGGAUUUGCAAGUUGGAUUUUGGUACUGCAAGUUGGAUUUUCCCAAUGAAUGAAGUUCAGCUCUUUAAAAUAUUUAUUGGCCUUUUGGUUAUCAGCUUCCGUGUUUUGUUUUGUUUUUGUGGAGUGGCUAUUCAGGCCUUCUGCCCCAGUUUCUAUUGUGCAGUCUGCCUUUCCUUAUUUACUUCUAUG